UUGACGGUACCCUACUAGAAAGGAGCCGCUAACUUCGUGCCAGAAGCGUCGGUAAUACGGGGGCUCCAAGCGUUAUCCGGUGUUAUUGGGCGUAAAGAGUCGUGUAGGUGGUUGGGUAAGUUAUCUUUCAAAUAUCUUUGCUUAACAAAGAGGAGGGGGAUAAUACUGCUCGACUAGAAUUUUCUCAAGGGAGAUCGGAACUGAGGGAGGAGUAGUGAAAUGCGUUGAUACCCUCGGGAACACCAGUGGCGUAGGCGGAUCUCUGGGAGAAGAUUGACACUGAGACACGAAAGCUAGGGGAGCGAAGCAGAUUAGAGACCUGCGUAGUCCUAGCCGUAAACGCAUGCUUGCUAGCUGCAUGAAUCUACCUUCGGGUGGUAUCGUGUGGCGAAGGUAACCCGUUAAGCAAGCCGCCUGGAAAGUACGGCCGCAAGGCUGAAAUUCAAAGGAAUUGGCGGGGAGGCACACAGCCAGUGGAACAUGUGGUUUAAUUCGAGACUAACCGAAGAACCUCACCAGGGUUUGACAUGUAGCUGCACGUCUUAAGAAAUUAAGACUCUCUUGAAGGUGCUACACAGGUGCUGCAUGGCUGUCGUCAGCUCGUUCCGUGAGGAGUGCCCUUAAGUGGGACAACGAGCGCAACCCCUAUUACAUGUUAGAAAUGUCAUGUAAGACUGCCUUGCCAUUUGGCGGGGAGGAAGGA
rnacentral:rRNA from 1 species